CAGUAGCCGCGGUAAUACGAAGGGUGCAAGCGUUAAUCGGAAUUACUGGGCGUAAAGCGUGCGUAGGCGGUUUGUUAAGUCUGUUGUGAAAUCCCCGGGCUCAACCUGGGAAUGGCAAUGGAUACUGGCAAGCUAGAGUGUGUCAGAGGAUGGUGGAAUUCCCGGUGUAGCGGUGAAAUGCGUAGAGAUCGGGAGGAACAUCAGUGGCGAAGGCGGCCAUCUGGGACAACACUGACGCUGAGGCACGAAAGCGUGGGGAGCAAACAGGAUUAGAUACCCGAGUAGUCCCUGUCUCUUAUAA
rnacentral:rRNA from 1 species